ACACGUGGGAACGUGCCCUAAAUGGGGGACAACAGAUGGAAACGUCUGCUAAUACCGCAUAAACCCUGAGGGGAAAGAUUUAUCGCUUUAGGAUCGGCCCGCGGCAGAUUAGGCAGUUGGUGGGUAAAGGCUACCAACCUACGAUCUAUAGCUGGUCUGAGAGGACGAUCAGCCACAUUGGAACUGAGACACGGUCCAGACUCCUACGGGAGGCAGCAGUGAGGAAUAUUGGGCAAUGGAGGGAACUCUGACCCAGCCAUGCCGCGUGAGUGAGAAGGUCUUCGGAUUGUAAAGCUCUUUCGGGUGUGACGAUGAUGACGGUAACACCUAAAGAAGCCCCGGCAAACUUCGUGCC
rnacentral:rRNA from 1 species